rnacentral:misc_RNA from 1 species
GAUGAAGAACGUAGCGAAAUGCGAUACUUGGCGUGAAUUGCAGAAUCCCGUGAACCAUCGAGUCUUUGAACGCAAGUUGCGCCUCAAGCCAUUAGGUUGAGGGCACGUCUGCCUGGGCGUCACAUAUCGUUGCCUGAUGCCAGUUUCCUCGUGAUGGGUGACUGUGCAGGGCGAAUGAUGGCUUCCCGUGAGCAUUGUUGCCUCAUGGUUGGUUGAAAAUUGAGUCCUUGGUAGGGAGCGCCGUGAUAGAUGGUGGUUGAGUGACGAACGAGACCCAAUCAUGUGAGACCCCUACCGAAUUUGGCCUUCAUGACCCACAUGCGUCUUUGGAACGCUCAUGACGAGACCUCAGGUCAGGCGGGGCUACCCGCUGAGUUUAAGCAUAUCAAUAAGCGGAGGA